rnacentral:rRNA from 1 species
UACGUAGGGUCCGAGCGUUGUCCGGAAUUACUGGGCGUAAAGAGCUCGUAGGCGGUUUGUUGCGUCGGCUGUGAAAUCCCGAGGCUCAACCUCGGGUCUGCAGUCGAUACGAGCAAACUAGAGUGUUGCAGGGGAGACUGGAAUUCCUGGUGUAGCGGUGGAAUGCGCAGAUAUCAGGAGGAACACCGAUGGCGAAGGCAGGUCUCUGGGCCAUUACUGACACUGAGAAGCGAAAGCAUGGGGGAGCGAACAGG